GCCGAGUGCUCGCAGUAGCGGCAAAGGCGCCGGUCUUGUUGGUUGUCCCCCGCUAUCCUUGAGUGACUAUGGUCUCUUGGCGGCUAGCGUAAUGAAUUUCUCGCGCAGCUGUUGCGUCACGUUCUACUGUCGUGGACCGGUUGGACAUUUUCACUAGACAAGCCACUUGCCGUCCUUUGGGCUGCUUACAUAUCGAUGUGCCACAAAGCUCUGUCUUCAUUGUAGCGUUCGUCGACGCAACUUUGAGGGUAUGUUGUGCGGACAGUUGAGACGGAUGCCCGGGGAAAUAAGGAACACGGUUCGCCUCUACAGACCUUGAGAACGCACAGCAAGGCUUCUAAAUAUCCACGCAGUUCGACAGCAAUUCAGUGGGUAUUUAUGUGGCCAGUGGACGUUUGCAAGUUCUGUACCACUGGACAGCGAUUGUGGCUUUUGUUGAUCGCUGCACCUGUACAGCUGAGCUGCCCAAACGAUUCCAGUUCAGGUGGAGUGCUUGGGCGAGUUGAUCGGCGGUGCGUCCGUUGGCGACGGCCAGCAUCAGGGCCAUCAUGGUCUGCACAGCCAGAGGAGAGAAGAGCACGUUGGAACCAGCUUCGCCGGUCCCGCGUCUCAGCUCCAGGUACACAUCGACCGCGAACUGGAGCAUGGCGUCGUUGAGGGCGCUUUCGUUCUGCAGCGGUCUGCACGGAAGUAAGAAAAAAUAAAGAAUAUGCCGCAUUA